UUAGAGUGGGUGCCUCUCUUCCGAGUUUGAAAUAUGGUCAGUAAGAACAUUAACAAGUGCCUGGAAGCAGGAAGAAGAUGGCCAAGCAACGAAUCACGCAGAGCAGUGAGUCUUGCUUCGAUUAAGAAAAUUCAGUGUCUGGCAUCUACAUGGUAAAAUCACAGCGCCACGACAGGGGGUGCCAACUCCUGUGGUCCCCCGACACCACAGAAUACCAUGAGUGGAACUUUAUCCACAAACAUAUAUUUCCCUCCCAGUGUUAGGAUGUUUCAUCUCCCUCAGGCCUCCCUUUUAGAAUUUCCUAGAUUCCUGAAGUCCUCCUAAGUCUGCAAUAUUAUCACUACAUAUAUAUCAAAUUAAAAUAAAGAUCUGU
rnacentral:lncRNA from 1 species